ACCCUCUUUCUAAUCCAAUCCAUUCCUCUCUCACGUAUUCUUCCAUUUAUUUUCAGUUUCCCUGCUCAAAUAACUCCUCUCUCAGUAUUCUUCCUCCACUUCACUAAACUAGAAUUAGAAUAACCGAUUUAAAGCGCCUUGAUCCAAUAAACUGACCCAAAUGGCUGAGGCUUUAGUGAAAUUAGGAAUAUAAAUGAUUAGCCCCUCCACUGAAUCUAAUAAAUAAUGCUUCCAUUCCAAUGCGUCUUCCUCCAUUUGCCUUUAAUCGUGUCACCAUUAAAUUCCGACGGUAUCAUAUUUUUGCACUCUACUAAAAUCAAGCUUUCUUUUAAAUGGAAAAGGAUUACAGUAAACACGUAAGGAGUCCACCUCUUAAGUAAGUUCGUUGUCGUCAAUGAGCCAUAUCUUGAAUAUAGCGUUAAAUUUUGAGACCUUUCAUUGUUGGAAAAUCCGUUUAUGAAAUUAUCUUAAUUUUGCAGUAUAGCAUUUUUAAACCUUCCAUUGCUGGAACAUGAAUUUGUGAAGAUUUAAGGGAUAAUUGCAGGUAUUAUUAGCAUCUUAGGGAUUUCAUUGCAAGUUUUCGCUAUGAAGGUCAGGCCUUAUCUUCUAUGGUCCAAUUGUUAUAUUAGUCGCUCUAAUUAAUUUACGCGCAUAUGAUGCAAUGCUCUGCAAAUA